rfam:Oesophagostomum dentatum strain OD-Hann O_dentatum-1.0_Cont730873.1, whole genome shotgun sequence.
GCUACUGGUCCGGAGUCAGUGGGUUAUCUUUCAAAAACUGGAAAAUUCACCCCAUUGGCACAAACUUGACCAAUAG